rnacentral:rRNA from 1 species
CCCUGGCAGUCAGAGGCGAUGAAGGGCGUACUAAUCUGCGAUAAGCGCCGGUAAGGUGAUAUGAACCGUUAUAACCGGCGAUACCCGAAUGGGGAAACCCAGUGUGAUUCGUCACACUAUCAUUAACUGAAUCCAUAGGUUAAUGAGGCGAACCGGGGGAACUGAAACAUCUAAGUACCCCGAGGAAAAGAAAUCAACCGAGAUUCCCCCAGUAGCGGCGAGCGAACGGGGAGGAGCCCAGAGCCUGAAUCAGCAUGUGUGUUAGUGGAAGCGUCUGGAAAGGCGCGCGAUACAGGGUGACAGCCCCGUACACAAAAGCGCAUGUGCUGUGAGCUCGAUGAGUAGGGCGGGACACGUGGUAUCCUGUCUGAAUAUGGGGGGACCAUCCUCCAAGGCUAAAUACUCCUGACUGACCGAUAGUGAACCAGUACCGUGAGGGAAAGGCGAAAAGAACCCCGGCGAGGGGAGUGAAAAAGAACCUGAAACCGUGU